CUUGGGAUGAUGUCACGAGACCAUCAGCCAAACAGCUAAAUCACAUUUGAAUAGUAGUUUAUAAAAAGGAGAUCAUUCACCCUAAGGAGCACAUAUGUGGUGUCAUUGUUUUUUUCUUUUCUUACAAAUACAAUGAGCUGAUGCCUGACGGUGGAUGAAAUUGAUUUCUAUUUGGAGAUAGGCUCGGUGCUUCUGCAGUAACUCCUUGACUGUAGUCUUCACACGUACACCCUGGUAGACUUUGGUUUUGUCUGCUGAAGAAAAAAAUGACAUUAAAAAUGGUUUUCAUCUUAUUUUUUUCCUCUUAUUAUUAUUUUUUUUCGCAGGAUUUAAAUGUAGUGUGCAACAUGACUUAUAUUGCAUUUUAUUGUUUAAAUGGAGACUGUAAAAAUGUAAAAAAAAAAAAAAGUUUUAUUUGCCAAAAAGAAAACUUUUGUUUGAUACAUUUGCCGAAAAAAAAAACUUCUUUAUAAGUCUAAUCGUAUCAUUUGCCAGAAAUAUAUAUAGGCUAUAUACUGACAUAUUACAAUAUCAGACUUUAAAAAAAUCAUAAAAUGUUUACAUUUAUUCUUGUUUGUGUCAAUGCUCCUUCAUAUUAAGCCUGUUUGUAUAAGCACAUGCAUAUCUCCCAUAUGCACCGUUGAAUGCCCAUAGAAACACUGAAUAAAUCGAUACAUUGUAUAAGAUUAGAAAUGAUACUUUGCCUGUCUUCCCAGUUUAAACUCCGCUGGCUCGUGUGCACAAGGCACCCGGCAGUGAAUGGGUUAUUUUUUUGCAUUACAACAGAGAAGGAAUUUGCUCUCCAGCCAUCUUUGUCCCGGCACGAGAAGUUUAAAUCGGGUUUAGGUUAUUUCGAACUUAACAAAGUAAAAACUUAACUAAUCUUAAACAAAUGGUUACGUAGGCUAGUAUAGAUUGGCAGGUAUAUGUUACCCGAUCAGUGUCUACAGAAGCGUACAGCUGUUUGUGUGCGGAAACCGGGAAAACACUUUUAACGCUGUUUGGGAGAACAGGAGAGAAAGCGAGAGAUCUGCAGCAGACGCCUCUGCAAGUUACAAACGUUGCUAAAGAAGAAAACAUCUCUUAAAUGAAAGAAAGAAAUAUUCACUUACCAGACAUAUUGGCCUGAAAAGGAGGAAAAAUCUGGAAGAGCUACAAUGAAAUACCCCAACGUCAGUUCUUUGCUCUAUUAUAUGGGCAAGAACGAAUUAUUCACAAAAGUCUCAAAAAGUCUCAACAAAGUAACCUCAAAACACUCUCAGGACAUACAAUUAUACAGUAAUAUAGCUAGGGAUAUUUUAGUUUGAGUUUUUCUCCCCUCAUCCCUACUAUUUAAAACCCCAAGAACUCCAUGAUUUGACAAUGAUUUGAUUGCGCGAUACUUUCAAUUUGAAUAUUCAAAGGCUUCGUUAAAAGACUUAUUUCUUAGAGAUAUUCGCUAUUUUAGUGCAUAUAACAACAUCUCUUUUAAUAGAAUGUUGUGUUAUUUCACACUUUGACAUUAGACAAAUAUAUAUUUUUAACAUUUUAUCAUCCUUUUGCUCUUAGUGGCUGAAGUCUCCCUUAGAGCCACUUUUUCAACUUUAUAAUGAGACUGGGACAACAAAUGAAGUUUUACAUCACACGAAGCAUUGCAAUUAUAUUCUAUAACAUGUAAUCAUCUAAAAUAAAUUAAAAAGGGGUCGUCUGGUUUAGAUUUAUCCAGUAUUUUGGGAAUUAUUAGAGUGGUGGGCGUGGCAUAUGACAGCAGCCAUGUUUGUCAUCAGAACAAUUGGGAUCUCUGUUAAAAUGAACUUAUUGGGAUAGUAGAGGCAAAUAUGGAAAGAUUGGAUAUGAAAUAUAUUCAAUUAAAAUAAUUUGUUAGAUUUGAAAACUCAAUUGCAAUCACAGUUUUUGAAAACGACACCAUGAACCAAUAUGACUUUCACAGACCAAGUUCACUGAGACUUUCACAUCAUGUUAAUGUUGUAACAAUCAUAUAAAAUUUCUUACGCGUUAAGAUAGUAUUUUAAUUUUAAUUAAAUAAAAAAAUUAUUCGAUUUCUUUAAGAUAUGGCACAUUUAUUAUCAUCACAGAGAUGCUGAUUUGAUGCUGAUGCUGAUGUACAAGCCCAAACAAAAUGUUCAAAUACCUGGCUUUAGUUCAAACUGUAAUUGAAUGUAUAUGGUAUUUAAAA